AAAUAAGUCCAUGUCAAUGAGCAAAAAUUUCAAUAACAGCAUGUUCUUAGAUGUUAACAACUCUGAUCUCGAGGUGUAAAUAUUAAAAGGUGCAUUUAGUGUAGUUCCGCAAACAUGUUCAUGAAAGUGUUGGUUCAUAUUGAUCACUGCAGAUUUUCUGUUACUGAUUAAUUCUCAAAUCUGAUUGGUCAGAAGGUUAAUUUUCUAUUACAUCAUCUGAUUGGUCAGAAGGUUAAUUUUCUAUUACAUCAUCUGAUUGGUCAGAAGGUUCAUUUUUAUAACCUCAUCUGAUUGGUCUGAAGGUUAAUUUUCUAUAACAUCGCCUGAUUGGUCAGAAGGUUAAUUUUCCAUAACAUCACCUGAUUGGUCAGAAGGUUAAUUUUUAUAGCCUCGCCUGAUUGGUCUGAAGGUUAAUUUUCUAUAACAGCAGCUCUGACUGUAGUGCACUUGCACUAUACCAUUUCUAUAGUAACGGCUGAUUCACAGGAACUUGUAUGGUGGACUUUACACGUAAGCAGAUUUUAAAAAGUGUGUAAAUGUUAAUAUGAGAGAAGAGAUGCUGGUCAGGGAACAAGUAUGUUGACGUGUCAUCCGUCCAUCCAU
ensembl:lncRNA